GAUCUGAUUGCUAACUGAAGAACCUGAAAACAACAGAACAACCGGUGCUGUAGAUCUGUUAUGAGGAAAAUCCAAGUUCUGAUCCUGGAAGGCAGGAACUUGUAUAGGAUUAAAUCUUGUGCCCAUUUAAGUGAAGUCUAAGGAGAAAUACCAGCCUGUCUUUAAAAAGUCCCACAGAUCAAGUCUUGUUUAGCACAGAGGUUGGCCUUAUCCAGCCUAUAUGGGCAAUGAAUUAAACAAGUCUGCCAAGUCCCCCUGAGCUCAGGCUUUCUCAGCAUCUCCAUCUCCCAAGUGGACAUGUGCACCAAUCUGAUCUCUGCUGACCGAGUCUGAGAUUUGAGCAAUUGUGUGAGAAAGGACAUGAAAAAGUCUUUAGUAGGUUACUGAAACAUAAAUAUGUGAACAUGACUCAUCAACGCCAUCUGGGGUUAAAUAUUGGCCCAUUUAUUUAGCAAUUUAAGAUACUUUAGCCCUUGUCAUCUUAUUCUUGUCCACUGACAGCUUCCCUGAUUCAAAACCUACAACCAUUCAGGCAAGCUAGGACUACAGUAAUGAUUGAAUUUAAACCCAGGCUUUUAUUUUCAUGCUGCAUGCCUCCACAGUGGCAUGAAAUACAUAUAAGAAAGCUGGUUCUCAAAGACCAAAUAAUCAUACCCCAUUUUUUUGU
rnacentral:lncRNA from 7 species